rnacentral:rRNA from 1 species
UGCCAGACUCCUAGGAGGCAGCAGUGGGGAAUAUUGCACAAUGGGGGAAACCCUGAUGCAGCGACGCCGCGUGAGCGAAGAAGUACCUCGGUAUGUAAAGCUCUAUCAGCAGGGAAGAAGAUGACGGUACCUGACCAAGAAGCUCCGGCUAAAUACGUGCCAGCAGCCGCGGUAAUACGUAUGGAGCAAGCGUUAUCCGGAUUUACUGGGUGUAAAGGGGGCGCAGACGGCGAUGCAAGCCAGGAGUGAAAGCCCGGGGCCCAACCCCGGGACUGCUCUUGGAACUGCGUGGCUGGAGUGCAGGAGGGGCAGGCGGAAUUCCUAGUGUAGCGGUGAAAUGCGUAGAUAUUAGGAGGAACACCAGUGGCGAAGGCGGCUUGCUGGACAGAGACUGACGUUGAGGCUCGAGAGCGUGGGGAGCAAACAGGAUUAGAUACCCCUGUA